rnacentral:rRNA from 1 species
GACGAACCCGUGCGAACGUCGUUCGGAAUCACUGGGCUUAAAGGGCGCGUAGGCGGGUCGGCAAGUCAGGGGUGAAAGCCCGCGGCUCAACCGCGGAAGGGCCUCUGAUACUGCCGGCCUCGAGGGAGGCAGGGGAGCGCGGAACUUCCGGUGGAGCGGUGGAAUGCGUAGAUAUCGGAAGGAACACCGGUGGCGAAAGCGGCGCUCUGGUCCUCUUCUGACGCUGAGGCGCGAAAGCCAGGGGAGC